AGGUAUGCUUGUUCGAGCGCCGUUUUACUUUUAAAGCUUUGCUUUGAGUUGAAUCAAUUGAUUUUGUCAAUGAUUUCAAAUGAAUUUGCAUAGAAUAUGAAUGAAAGCAGUGAAAGUGUCUUUCAAACUCAAAUUUGAUGGCAAAAUCAAAAACCAAAACACAUGGCCUCGGAUCAAGUAGGGUUACCCGCUGAACUUAA
rnacentral:misc_RNA from 1 species